AAUGAACGUUGGCGGCGUGGAUUAGGCAUGCAAGUCGUGCGGAAAGGCUCCUUCGGGAGUACUCGAGCGGCGAAAGGGAGAGUAACGCGUGGAUAUCUACCCCCUGGCCUGGGAUAGCGGCGGGGAACUGCCGGUAAUACCAGAUAAUGUCUGCGGACCAAAGGUGUGAUCCCGCCGGGGGAUGAGUUCGCGUCCUAUUAGCUAGUUGGUAGGGUAACGGCCUACCAAGGCAAAGAUGGGUACCGGGUGGGAGGGCAUGGCCCGGCGCACUGGGACUGAGACACUGCCCAGACACCUACGGGUGGCUGCAGUCGAGAAUCUUCGGCAAGGGGCGCAAGCCUGACCGAGCGACGCCGCGUGCGGGAUGAAGGCCUUCGGGUUGUAAACCGCUGUCAGAGGGGAGGAAAUGCGUGGGAGUUCUCUCUUACGUUUGACCUAUCCUCAGAGGAAGUACGGGCUAAGUUCGUGCCAGCCGCCGCCGUAAAAC
rnacentral:rRNA from 1 species